GAGUUUGAUCUUGGCUCAGAUUGAACGCUGGCGGCAUGCCUUACACAUGCAAGUCGAACGGCAGCACGGGAGCUUGCUCCUGGUGGCGAGUGGCGAACGGGUGAGUAAUGCAUCGGAACGUAUCCUGGAGUGGGGGAUAACGUAGCGAAAGUUACGCUAAUACCGCAUAUUCUGUGAGCAGGAAAGCGGGGGACCUUCGUGCCUCGCGCUCUUGGAGCGGCCGAUGUCGGAUUAGCUAGUUGGUGAGGUAAAGGCUCACCAAGGCGACGAUCCGUAGCAGGUCUGAGAGGAUGAUUUGCCACACUGGAACUGAGACACGGUCCAGACUCCUACGGGAGCAGCAGUGGGAAUUUUGGACAAUGGGGGCAACCCUGAUCCAGCCAUGCCGCGUGAGUGAAGAAGGCCUCGGUUGUAAG
rnacentral:rRNA from 1 species